GUGGACUUCUCUCAGCAGGAACUUGUCACAGGUUCACCUACUGUAUAGGGUAUUGGUGAUUAAAGCCUAUUCAUUGAACAUUAUGUACUAGCAAUGUUGUACUAGUUUGAUGAUUGUUAGUCAUCCAUGAGUCAUUUAACAAUAUCAUAAUGUAUGCAGAACGGCAAGGAACCCCACUUAUAGAUGGGAAACGCGUGUGUGUGCGUGUGUGUGUGUGUGCGUGUGUGCGUGUGUGCGUGUGUGCGUGUGUGCGUGUGUGUGUGUGUGUGCGUCUGAGCAGAGGGGAGAGAAAGGAGACCAAGGCAGGGUGGGGAUUGCUGGAAUGCCUGGUUUACCUGGGACCCCAGGUAGACCUGGCAUUGAUGGGAAGAGAGGUCUGGCUGGAAAAGAUGGAGAGGAAGGACAAAGAGGAGAUGAUGGCAAAAAGGUAUGAUUUGGAGCAAGUCUGGCUAUUCCCCACACCAACACAAUAAACCAUUUUUGUGAUUUUGCUUCUCUAACCGUAGGGUGAUACAGGUGAAUCUGGAACUGAUGUAAGUUAUUUUAUUUUAAUAAGGCAGUAUUAAUUAUC
ensembl:lncRNA